CCAGGUCUCAGCUGCUGGUUUGUCUGCGGGAGACGAGGGCAGAGAAGAAGACAAGGCGUAAAGUUCUGAGAGAGUUUGAGGACGAGUUUUACCGUCAGACUGGAAGAAUCUGCCAGAAAGAGGAUCGCACUCCGAUGAAGGAAGAAUACCAGGAAUACAAACAGCUCAAGGCUAAACUGCGUCUGCUGGAAGUCCUCCUCAGCAAACAGGAAGUCACCAAAACCGUGUGAGAGGAAGUGGAAACUCCCACAGACUCCCUCCACCCUGAAACUCUGCAUGAGAAAAGAGCUUUCUGUGUUGAGAGGAGAGGAAGAGUUACAGAAAGAAACGUGUUGAGGUGCACCGACAUGUUCUUCCUUUCUAUUAUUUAUUUCAGCUACUUCAGCUGCAGAGCUCAAGAGAGCAGAACGUCGCAGCCUGAAAUAAAACUAGUGCUUAACGUUGUGAAACAUCUGUUGGGUCAGGUUUAGGAAAAGUUCAUGGUUUGGGUCAAAAUAACUACGUUACAUACGAGGUCCAGUGUGUUUGUGAGGAUCUAAUGACAGAAAUGCAAGAUGAGGUCCAUAACUAUGUUCUCAGCGCUGCAUAAAGACCUUAAUGUUGUUAUUACCUUAGAAUGAGACAUUUUCUGUCCACAGACACCUCUCACAUGGAGGUCACCCUGUUGCACCGCCAUGUUUCUACAGUAGCCCAAACGGACAAACUGCUCUGCAGAGCGCGUUUUAUUAGGAGGAGGAGGAACAAAUGGAGGCGCAUACGUGUUAUUUAGCAGGAGAGCUGACGGAGCAUGUCGUAGCUUCUCCUGCUCGCUUGGAAAGGGAGGGGUGAACGUUGACUGAGCCUUUGGUUUCAGUUUGAAACCUUCACCACUAGAUGCCACUAAAACCUCCAAACUGAACCUUUAAAUUACAUAACUUACGUAACAUCACCAAUGGUGGCUUUUUGUUUCACACAGGAAAUGAACACCAGUCCCCUGUGUGAAAGUCUGGUUUUUAUUCCACCCUAACCACCUCCUUACUCUGACUUUUCUGUUUUAUUGAUAUAGCUAUGAGAACAGUCUGGUUUUUAAGAGAAGUUAACUUAACGUUUGAAGGUCAACCGGAACAACACACUGAUUUAAAAGAGAAGAACAUUUUGGUGCAUGCUCUCUCUCUGAGUUAGAUGCUCAGAUUGACUCUGGCGCCACAUAUAAAGCUGCAGCAGGUUAUCUUAGCAUAAAGACUGGAAGCGUAGACAUAGUGCUAUGUUAUUAAAGUUUCCAUUAACAUGAUACAUGUUUGAUGCCAACAUACUACAGUUAGAGUAUUUUAAUGUUAUGGUUGCAUGUUAACGUUUAACAGAACGUGUUGGUAGAAACUUUCUCACUUCUUCCUCUCCAAACUGAACAUGUGAAAAUACUGUAAAUACUCCAGCAGAGUUUUCUAAAGUUUAAAAGAGACCAGACGUCUCUCUGUACCAUCUUCUGCUCUGUCAGUGGAAACGUACCAGCAGCCUACUGUGUGUAUUUAUUGACCUGCAUCGUCAAGUCUCAGUCAUUUAAUACAGCUGCAUUUGUUCCAGUCUGCAAAGAUGAGGAUGUUUCUGUGGGUGAAACUAAGGUGUUACUUCCAUCUGGUUUGAUUUAAUGGACCAAAACAUUUUUUGUCUAAUUGAAAGCACUUUAAUGUGUCGCCGGGGUCCUGGAGGACAAAGACGGUGGCGGGUUUGAUGAUGAAGCAGCAGGACCUUCCUUCCAAAAAGACCAGUAACUGCAGUUUGGUGUCUGAGGAUUGAGAAUCUGAAACCUGAAUCAUAAAGCAAAGGAUUCUGGGACAAAGCAGUAGUGCCGUGUAUGAGCACAGCCUUGGUUCGUCCGUACAGCCAUUAGCUCUGCUGGCAUGAACGUCUGUAUUAACGAGCUGAUUUAUUGGAACGUGAGGUAGACGUUGAUGAAGUCGACGUCAGAAAUCAGAGAGCUGACGAUGUUCAGCGUCGCGUUGAGGUGCGUUCUGACUGGAAACGUGUGGGACGAAGAUGCAAUGUACCAAUGAUUGUUGUUGUUCUGCAUGUCAAGAUAUUAUUUAAACAGCAACAUGGAGAUAUGUGGAGGAUUAUAUCAUAGCACUUAAUGAUGACAAAGGGAAUUUACUUACUUUGAUAUGCAAAAUGGUCUGUGGAGAGAUGCAGGUGAACAUGCAGGUGAACUGCGUCCUCCAGGUUUACUGUGUUAAGGGUCACGUUGUACGACGUAGCUGUCGUGCUUCUCAGAGCCGAGUUCAGCCCCGACAAACUGCAGGUGAUGCCUUGAACACCCUGUUGUGAACACAGGCGCGCUGCACUUCACUGCCUUUUUAAUAUGGCAGUGCUUACAUACACGUCGCUGCUGAUUGGGUAACACACUCUGACACGCCCACCAAACGAGGGGAAACGUACCUCACAGUCUGUUGCGCACCGUUUCAAGGAAACUUGUCGUCCAACCUGCACAAAACCAGUGUAAAGUGUUUUGAGAUUGAGCGCUCUCGAGAUUUUUGACAACCCUGCCUCUGAUUGGCUGGUACUCGUUGCCUCCGUUGGUUAAUGCUGCGCUCUAGUCACAGUUGGUCUUGAAUUUCACAGUUUAAGUUUCUGACUUCCGACCUGAAAGCGUUCCAGGUGCAUUACGCCAAACAUGGACUAAAAACAUGGCUGACCGUGACAAACUGAUGCUUCUUUGCCAAGUGUGCGCACAGCUGAACCCUCAGCAGUGAGUGGUGUUAAAUAAAAAGAGCAACAUAAAUAUACGUCUCUCGUUUACGGUGUUCCCGUCUCGCUAGAUCAGUGUGUAAUCUGCAAAAGUCAGAGAUACUGUAACCAGCUGCCCAAUAACACUGGCACUUUCUUACUCCCAGAACAGGUUUUAUUAUAUGAUAGGGUGUAUUAUUUUAAUAAAAUACAGGCAAAUAUACUUUACGUUGCCUUUUAGUUGAUGGUUUACCAUUUACAGUAUGUGCUUCCAUGGAGAUGCCUCGAGUUCACAAGUGGAGCUCUGACUCGGAGUAUGUACUUUUCACUACAUGGAGGUUAGAAAUUUUCGUUUUGAGAAGUCUGGAACGCAGCAUUAGGUUAGGGUUAGCGAGGGCUGCAAUUGGCUGCUGUUUUCCCCAACAUGUUUCUGUUGCCGGUGGAGUUUCUUUGAAAGAGAAGGUAACAAGAAGGAAGUUAUAGACCAUCGGUAGGUUUCUCCUUCUUUGUAAGAAACGUCUAAUCGAGCGCCGACACAGCAGGACAGCUGCUCUGAAUCAAUGAAUGAACGAAACUGCGGUCGUCAUCUGUUCAGCCAAAUAAUAAUAAGUUACCCGGAUCUAACUGUAAGUACGUGCGUUGGCCACAGUCUCUCUGUAUCACCAAGUAAAUAAGAGUGAACUAUAUAAACGGUCUGAUCAUUUACAACACAUGCGUCUAGUGUUGAUGGGUGGAAUUUUUACCCUUUAAAUCGACCCAUAUCCACACAAAACAUAAUCCAGCAAGUGAAACUUUUUUACUGGAAAACCAGUUUAGUAUGUAAAAAUCAAAUGUUUAAUCGACAGGUUGAGCUGUAACACCUGGAAAUGUGCAAUAGUUGAAAGGUUGUAUUCCUGAAGUCCGUGCUAACAUGUCGCCGCGUCUCACUAAGAAACAAACGUCUCACUGAGGUUAUUUUAUAUUGUGUUGGAUGCAGACUUUCGGUGCACGUUGGUGUUGGUGUUUUGACCUUCGUCAUGCUGAUUAAAUAUGUCUCUGUUGUGCAGUUCUGGUUCGCUUGACAAGUUUCUACAGACGAAUUUAAAAUAAAUAUUUUUGUUAUUAACA